CCUUGUCGGGUAAGUUCCGACCUGCACGAAUGGCGUAACGACUUCUCCACUGUCUCAACCACGAACUCGGCGAAAUUGCACUACGAGUAAAGAUGCUCGUUACGCGCAGCAGGACGGAAAGACCCCGGGACCUUUACUACAGCUUGGUAUUGGUGUUCGGUACGGCUUGUGUAGGAUAGGUGGGAGACUGUGAAGCAUGCACGCCAGUGUGUGUGGAGUCAACGUUGAAAUACCACUCUGGUCGUUCUGGAUAUCUAACCUCGGUCCGUGAUCCGGAUCAGGGACAGUGCCUGGUGGGUAGUUUAACUGGGGCGGUUGCCUCCUAAAAGGUAACGGAGGCGCCCAAAGGUUCCCUCAGCCUGGUUGGCAAUCAGGUUUUGAGUGUAAGUGCACAAGGGAGCUUGACUGUGAGACAGGCAUGUCGAGCAGGGACGAAAGUCGGGACUAGUGAUCCGGCGGUGGCUUGUGGAAGCGCCGUCGCUCAACGGAUAAAAGGUACCCCGGGGAUAACAGGCUGAUCUUGCCCAAGAGUCCAUAUCGACGGCAUGGUUUGGCACCUCGAUGUCGGCUCGUCGCAUCCUGGGGCUGGAGUAGGUCCCAAGGGUUGGGCUGUUCG
rnacentral:rRNA from 1 species